rnacentral:tRNA from 1 species
UGGUAGCUCAGCUGGGAGAGCAUCUGCCUUACAAGCAGAGGGUCAGCGGUUCGAUCCCGUUAACUCCCAU